rnacentral:tRNA from 1 species
GUCGUUGUAGCUCAGUUGGUAGAGCGCUCGGUUGAAGUCCGAGAGGUGGCAGGUUCGAACCCUGCCGUUGACA